UGAACGCUAGCGGCAGGCUUAACACAUGCAAGUCGAGGGGCAUCGGGAGUAGCAAUACUUGCCGGCGACCGGCGCAAGGGUGCGUAACGCGUGAGCAACAUGCCCGUAUCAGGGGGAUAAUCCAUGGAAACGUGGUCUAAUACCCCAUAGUAAUUAUGUAAGGCAUCUUAUAUAAUUUAAAGCUUUGGUGGAUACGGAUUGGCUCGCGUGACAUUAGCUGGAUGGUAAGGUAACGGCUUACCAUGGCUACGAUGUCUAGGGGUUCUGAGAGGAAGGUCCCCCCACACUGGAACUGAGACACGGUCCAGACUCCUACGGGAGGCAGCAGUGAGGAAUAUUGGACAAUGGAUGGAAAUCUGAUCCAGCCAUGCCGCGUGCAGGAAAGACGGCCCUAUGGGUUGUAAACUGCUUUUGUAUGGGAGCAAUAAGGGCUACGUGUAGUCCGAUGAGAGUACCAUACGAAUAAGCACCGGCUAACUCCGUGCCAGCAGCCGC
rnacentral:rRNA from 1 species